AGUGAACGCUGGCGGCGUGCCUCAUACAUGCAAGUCGAACGAAGUGGCUCACGGGUGAGUAAUAUAUAGUUAAUCUGCACUACACAGAGGAACAACAGUUGGAAACGGCUGCUACUACCUCAUAUUGUAGUCUGAGACUAUAUCGUAUCAGCUAGUUGGUAAGGUAAUGGCUUACCAAGGCUAUGACGCGUAACUGGUCUGAGAGGAUGAUCAGUCACAUUGGAACUGAGACACGGUCCAAACUCCUACGAGAGGCAGCAGUAAGGAAUAUUGCGCAAUGGGGGAGACCCUGACGCAGCAACGCCGCGUGGAGGAUGACACUUUUCGGAGAGUAAACUCCUUUUAUCAGGAAAGCGGUACCUGAUGAAUAAGCACCGGCUAACUCCGUGCCAGCAGCCGCGGUAAUAC
rnacentral:rRNA from 1 species